rnacentral:tRNA from 1 species
UGGGGUAUCGUCCAGUGGUUAGGACACGGGUUUUUGGUGCCUGUAACCUAGGUUCGAAUCCUAGUACCCCAGCCA